CCCCUCUCAGCGUUGCAUCUGGAGAGUUUCCAGCACUCUACCAGACUCGACUACGGGAGGGAGAGUCAAGGAGAGGCAUACCCAUUCCAGUCUUAGCUUGGCCAGGGGUUAGCGAGUGGAAGGCAAUCUGCUACAGGU